GUUGCGGUUAAACAAAUUAUUAAAAGGAAUUUUAGAAUUAAUGUGAACUUUUACGAUAAAUAGAUAAAAAUGAUUAAUUGAAAGGUAAAAUUUACAAUUUUUUUAAUGUCUAAUUUUAAUUGUUCAGAAAUUUAGCGCUAAACCAGGAUUAGAUACCCUGUUAUAAUAAUGUAAACUUUAUGGAGUAGUAAAAGUUAAGAGCUUAAAACUCAAAAGAUUUGGCGGUAUUUUAUCUUAUCAGAGGAACCUGUUUAUUAAUUGAUAAUCCACAAUUAAAAUUUACUUUUAUUUAUAUUACUUGUAUACCGCUGUCAUGAAUAUACUAAAAAGUUUAUAUUUUCUUCCACCCCAUUUUCCCGCUGCUGGUUUAUGUUAGGUCAAGGUGCAGUUUUUAAAAGAAGCUAAUGGGUUACAAUACAAAUUAUGAAUGGAAUUAAGUAAAUUUAACUUUAAGAAAAAGGAUUUGAAAGUAAAAUGAUUUAUAAAAAUUAAAUGAAU
rnacentral:rRNA from 1 species